GAGUACUAGGUGGCGGGGGUUACCCCCUUCGGUGCCGCAGCUAACGCAUUAAGUACUCCGCCUGGGAAGUACGCUCGCAAGAGGGAAACUCAAAGGAAUUGACGGGGACCCGCACAAGUAGCGGAGCAGGUGGUUUAAUUCGAAGCAACGCGAAGAACCUUACCUAAGCUGGACAUCCCAAUGACAUCUCCUUAAUCGGAGAGUUCCCUUCGGGGACAUUGGGGACAGGUGGUGCAUGGUUGUCGUCAGCUCGUGUCGUGAGAUGUUGGGUUAAGUCCCGCAACGAGCGCAACCCUUGUCUUUAGUUGCCAUCAUUAAGUUGGGCACUCUAGAGAGACUGCCAGGGAUAACCUGGAGGAA
rnacentral:rRNA from 1 species